rnacentral:rRNA from 1 species
GACGAACGCUGGCGGCGUGCUUAACACAUGCAAGUCGAACGGUAAGGCCCUUCGGGGUACACGAGUGGCGAACGGGUGAGUAACACGUGGGUAAUCUGCCCUGCACAUCGGGAUAAGCCUGGGAAACUGGGUCUAAUACCGAAUAGGACCACAGGACACAUGUCCUGUGGUGGAAAGCUUUUGCGGUGUGGGAUGGGUCCGCGGCCUAUCAGCUUGUUGGUGGGGUGAUGGCCUACCAAGGCGACGACGGGUAGCCGGCCUGAGAGGGUGUCCGGCCACACUGGGACUGAGAUACGGCCCAGACUCCUACGGGAGGCAGCAGUGGGGAAUAUUGCACAAUGGGCGAAAGCCUGAUGCAGCGACGCCGCGUGGGGGAUGACGGCCUUCGGGUUGUAAACCUCUUUCACCAUCGACGAAGGUCCGGGUUUUCUCGGGCUGACGGUAGGUGGAGAAGAAGCACCGGCCAACUACGUG